rnacentral:rRNA from 1 species
UACGGGGGGAGCAAGCGUUGUUCGGAUUUACUGGGCGUAAAGGGCGCGUAGGCGGUCAGCACAAGUCAGCUGUGAAAUCUCCGGGCUUAACUCGGAAAGGUCAGCCGAUACUGCGGGGCUAGAGUGCAGAAGGGGCAACUGGAAUUCUCGGUGUAGCGGUGAAAUGCGUAGAUAUCGAGAGGAACACCUGCGGCGAAGGCGGGUUGCUGGGCUGACACUGACGCUGAUGCGCGAAAGCUAGGGGAGCGAACGGG